UUGUCCUGUAAUAAAAAUAUAGAGC
rnacentral:piRNA from 1 species